UGAGCAUCCCAAAGGCGGCCACCCCUCCCUCCCACUUUCAGUCUCCAUCCCUGCUCCACCCGAGACCCCAAGGGAAUCAAAGAGGCGAAGAGGUGCAGGCAGCCAGGCGGGGUUGGGAUGCACCCGGCGCUCAGACGCAGGCGGCCCUACCCCUGGGCCCGUACCGCUCCCGCUUCAGCGGAACUUGCUGCAGCUCGAGUCUGGACACCUGGACCGUGCACUCACGGAGGUAGCCCCGACAGUGGGUGGGCUAACAGGAUUCUGGAUUCCUGGAGGUGGGGCUGGGGGCUAGAACUCCUGGUUCUCUGAAUGAAGACAGAGCUGAGGGCUCGGACCCCGAGUCCUGACAGAGGGUGAGGGGCCUGGAGUCCUGCCUUCUGGGAAAGGAGACUGGGGGUGGGAAGUUAGAUCUGGAGGGAAAAGGGGCAGUGGCCCUGAGCUCCUGGUUCAGGGCGGAGUCUCGCUGCCACCCCCCCCCCCACCCCAACCCCCCCCCCCCCCGACUCCCGGGUCCCAAGGGAGGGGGAGCCUGGGGCGGGUAGUCUGGUCCCAGGGGACGGGGAGCAGAGAGGUCUGUUCUGGCUCAAGGCUGGGGAGGUGCUGAGGGCCCAGAUACCUAGUUCUGAGGGUGCAGGGGGCUGGGGACCUGGACUUCUAGAUUUUGAGGGAAGGCGGUGGGGCUGGACUCCUGGGUCUGAAGGAGAAGGGAGCUGGGGUCCGGGCUCUGGGGUCUCGAUGGCGGAGGGGUCAGGAGCCCUGACCGGGGCCCGCUGAGCACCGGCUCCGUGUAGCUCCCUGGACGCUGGGGUCCGAUGUUCACCGUGUGGCUGGGCCCACGCCCUGCAGUGGUGCCGUGCAGCUACGCAGCGCAGCGGGACGCAUUAGUGCUGCAAGCGGAUGCCUUCUCCGGCCGUGGGGCCAGGGCAGCCUUCGAACGCUUCACACGCGGAAACGGUGAGGCCUGGGCGGCGGAAGUGCGGACCGGGAACGUCCAGUUUGCGAUACGGAGCGAGACCGGGGGAAAUGGAGCGGGGCCUAAUAGAGUCAAGGGUUCUGAAGAGAGGUUGGGGAGGAGCCACAGUGUAGGGGUCGAAUGGCGGUGGGGGAGGCUGGAUCCUUGUGCAGCCAGUAGAAGAGAAGAGCCUAAGAGUCAAGGCCGAAGAGAGCCAGCACGUGGAUGAGGAAUCGGGACCAGCAGAGGUGCGGCCAAUGUGCGGAUAGGGCCGAGAAGGCUGGGGUAGCAACCAAAAGACCAGGAAAUGAAGCAGAGCGAAGAGUUGCGAGGAAGUCGACUCCACUACGGGAUGCUUCUGGGAUGGGGCGUGGCUAACUCCCCGGCCCGUCCCCUUCUUUGUUCCACUCCCCCAGGCAUCGUGGCUUCUAACGGGCAGCGCUGGCGGACGCUGCGCAAUUUUGCACUUGGAACACUUAAGGAGUUCGGCUUGGGUACGCGGACCAUCGAGGACCGUGUCCUGGAAGAGGCGCCUUGUCUGCUUGGCGAAUUUCAGGACAGCGUUGGUACGGCCCGGUCGGAAAAGGAUAGGGACCUGUUGUGGGUGUGCCCUAGGGAAGGCGUUUGGGUGGAAUGAAGCCAGUAAACCCAAGAGCUGGGUGGGGGCCGAGACACAGCGUAUGACCUUGUCAUGUUCCCACUCCCAGGAGCUCCGUUCGACCCCCGGCGGCUACUAGAUAAUGCUGUAUCUAACGUUAUGUGUUCCGUGGUCUUUGGAGGCUACGAGGACCCAGAGUUCCUGAGGCUCCUGGACCUCUUCAGUGACUUCUGCAUCAUGAGUUCCAGAUAGGGUGAGAAGGACCCGGAGAGCCCUUUCCAGAAGACAUUGGUGAUGACGACGCAUAACCACUUCCUUGGCAGUACCGAGACCACAAGCACCACCCUGCGCUACAGACUCCUCAUUCUGCUCAAAUACCCAGAGGUGCCAAAGCGCAGGCGGAGUUGGAUCCCGUAGUAGGUUGAAUGUGCGCCCCAAGCCUGGAGGACUAAGAACGCCUGCCCUACACCGACACCACGCUGCAGGAGAUCCAAAGCAUCUUCAGCGUGCUGCCGCUGGAGCUGCCGCGUGCCCUCACCUGUGAGGCCCACCUGCGCAGUCACUUCCUGCCCAAGGUGGCCACCAAGACUGGGGAUCCUGCGCAGGGGCUGGGGAGGGCCUGUUAACAGAGAUCAGCAGGCCUAAGCGUCCAGAGCACUGACUCUGGGAGCAAGAAAGUAGGCGGCCUUCCUUGCCGCUGACUUCGAAAUGGGGUCUUGGAUGGAUGUGUGGAAUAGUCACUUGCAUAUUUUUCAAGUAACCCUUGCACAUCUCCCCAGGGCACCUUCAUGAUUCCUCUCCUUGUGUCUGCACACCAGGAUCUCACCCAAUUUAAGGACCCAGACUGUUUCAAUCCCACCAACUUCCUGAAUGACAAG